rnacentral:rRNA from 1 species
UAGUCCACGCCGUAAACGAUGUUCACUCGCUGUUUGCGAUACACUGCAAGCGGCCAAGCGAAAGCAUUAAGUGAACCACCUGGGGAGUACGUUGGCAACAAUGAAACUCAAAGGAAUUGACGGGGACCCGCACAAGCGGUGGAACAUGUGGUUUAAUUCGAUGAUACGCGAGGAACCUUACCUGGACUUAAAUGUAGAUUGCAUAGAGUGGAGACAUUCUUUUCUUCGGACUAUCUACAAGGUGCUGCAUGGUUGUCGUCAGCUCGUGCCGUGAGGUGUCGGGUUAAGUCCCAUAACGAGCGCAACCCCUAUCGUUAGUUGCCAUCAGGUUAUGCUGGGGACUCUAGCGAAACUGCCUGUGCAAACAGAGAGGGAAGGUGGGGGAUGACGUCAAAUCAGCACGGGCCCUUACGUCCAGGGGCUACACACGUGUUACAAUGGGGCAUAGACAGAGGGGCAGCUACACGGGCGACGUGAUGCGAAUCUCGAAACUA